GUAAUCGCGGAUCAGCAUGCCGCGGUGAAUACGUUCCCGGGCCUUGUACACACCGCCCGUCACACCAUGAGAGUCGGGAACACCCGAAGUCCGUAGCCUAACCGCAAGGGGGCGCGGCCGAAGGUGGGUUCGAUAAUUGGGGUGAAGUCGUAACAAGGUAUC
rnacentral:rRNA from 1 species